GGGAGAGCUGGGCUGGCUGCUGGAUCCCCCAAAAGAUGGGUGGAGUGAACAGCAACAGAUACUGAAUGGGACACCCCUGUACAUGUACCAGGACUGCCCAAUGCAAGGACGCAGAGACACUGACCACUGGCUUCGCUCCAAUUGGAUCUACCGCGGGGAGGAGGCUUCCCGUGUCCACGUGGAGCUGCAGUUCACCGUGCGGGACUGCAAGAGUUUCCCUGGGGGAGCCGGGCCUCUGGGCUGCAAGGAGACCUUCAACCUUCUGUACAUGGAGAGUGACCAGGAUGUGGGCAUUCAGCUCCGACGGCCCUUGUUCCAGAAGGUGCUGCUUCCCUCCAUGCCAUCUGGGUCCUGGUGCAGAUCCCUGGUGGCUCCUUAUUGGGUGCCAGAGAAGGUUGCAGAGACAGGAAGAGGGUGCAGAGGUAGAAUCAUGAAAAGAAUUUGGCACUUGAAGGCUGGGCAUGGUGGCUUGUGCCUGUAAUUCCAGUGCUUUGGGAAACCGAUGUGGGAAGAUCACUUGAGGCCAGGAGCUUGAGACCAGCCUGGGCAACAUAGCAAAACUUCAUCUCUGCAAAAAAUUAAAAAUCACCUGGGCAUGGUGGCCCAUACCUGUAGUCCCAGCGACUCAGGAGGCUGAGGCAGGAGGAUCACUUGAGCCCAGGAGUUUGAGGCUGCAGUGAUCUAUGAUUGUGCCACUGCAUACCAGCCUGGGCAACAGAGCAAGAUCCUGUCUCUAAAGAAAAAAAGAACAAUGUGGCAUUGGAAAUCAGAAGGGCUGGAUUUGAGUAUCUUUUCUGCUGUGCCGUGACUUUGGGGGUGU
rnacentral:sRNA from 1 species